GUAGGUGAACCUGCGGAAGGAUCAUUAACACGUAUCCAACGUUAAACCCCCCCCGUGAACAUUCAUAAACAGUUGACUCGCCCACCCGCUUGCCAGCAAACCCUAGUAAAUCAUCGCCGACAGUUUUGAUUUAGGGUUUCGCAGAGUACGUGAGAAAUUACAGUGGGUUUGUAGCGACUUCCUAACCUCAGCCUCUCCGGGGCCUGCAUACGGAUUGGAAAGUGCCAUAUGCAAGAGCCGACGAGUUGGA
rnacentral:misc_RNA from 1 species